rnacentral:lncRNA from 1 species
CCACUGUGGGGAGGCUUGGAGCUGGCUAUUUCCUGCUUUUGGGGCACCUGGGCCUCAUUUUGCUCAAUGGAGAAAUAAUGCUCUCUGUCCUAGGCAAGUCUAGAUUCAGUCACUUAGUACCAAGGCCAAGUACCCAUCUGACGGCUUGUGGAUAAAAGGUAUCCUGCGGCACCUUUGGGAAUGUUCAUGGCCACUCUGGUAGAAACAGGGUGUUCUUGUUUUUACAGGCAGUGACACUGAGACCCAGAGAUGUCCAGUGUCCUGGGCCAAGUAACAUAAUGGAGGCAGAAACAGCAUUAAAACACCACAGGGGCUGCAGGCACUGGAACCUUCCAGCCUCUAACCCUCCUCCACAGCUCGGAAGACCUAGAAAGAACACCACAGCUCUGCUGGCUAGAACCAGUUAACAGC